rnacentral:tRNA from 1 species
GCCCGGGUGGUGAAACUGGUAGACACAGGGGACUUAAAAUCCCCCGCUGACAACAGCAUGCCGGUUCGACUCCGGCCCUGGGCACCA